GGCUGUUGUGCACUGAUUCCAGUACAACAGCCAAUCAGCGCUUCUUCAAGAUUUAAAAAAAUAUGACAACAUCACAGGGUAGGUGACCCCGGCAUAGUUUUGACAAAAUUUUGCGUACACGAUUAAUAGCAGCACAGAGAAGAGAUAUACAGAGAGGAAACUCGCGGCAAAUUUGAUCACGCCGAUACAUUAAGUCUAUUAACUAUAGAAAAUUAUAUUAAUUCACCAUUUUAUUAAAUUUUAAUAAUGCAGAGGAAUAAAUCUAUACAUAUUAUAGAAGUAUUCAUUUUUUUUUAUGCGAGAGUUAUAUUUUUGAGGAAUUUAUAUCAUUCGCUGCUUUGUUAUUUAUACAUGAGCAUCUGAAAUUUCCAGCCAGUGCUUUUCACGAUUUUAAUAAGGAGUAGAUAGGGAAAAAACUUUUAAUAAAAGGAAAUCAAUAAAAGUGAUCACUUACCGUUAUUCUACAAUAAUUUAUUGAACAAAAUUUCCAUGGGUAUCUCAUUUUUUUGAAAAACGGCGUUUUCCCUAUCUUUUGCUAUGAAAUUUCAGCGACGGCACUGGCUGGGAAAUUUUGCGUGGCGCGUGGAACACGUGACACAAAAAUUGAGGUUAUAGCGAGUGUCUGUUUCCUCUCUGUAUAUCUCUCCUCUGUGAUCGCAGCGUGUAAACGUAACUUAAAAGGCAGCAGCCUUAUCAGGCCUAGCCCUCUGCAUCUCUUGGUGUUAUUGAAACAAAAUUAACCAUUCAUCGUCUUCACUUUAGCCUAAGAUUUUGUGAGAAAAAUGCCUCAGAAAAAACAUGUAUGUAUUAUUGGAGCGGGCCCUAGUGGCAUGUCAACAUUGUAUCAUUUUGAUAAGCUGAGAAAACAAGGGACAGAGAUUCCUGAAGUUGUUUGUUAUGAAAAGCAAUCUGAUUGUGGUGGUCUGUGGAAUUAUUCUUGGAGAACAGGUAUGCAGAGUUCUAAAACAGCAGGGUGUACCGUUUGGGUGGUUUCCAAGUCUGCUGCAAACUGUUUCCUGCCAACAUCCAGGCCUACGCGAGGCGC